UACGUAGGGUGCGAGCGUUGUCCGGAAUUAUUGGGCGUAAAGAGCUUGUAGGCGGUUUGUCGCGUCUGCUGUGAAAAUCCGGGGCUCAACCCCGGACUUGCAGUGGGUACGGGCAGACUAGAGUGCGGUAGGGGAGAUCGGAAUUCCUGGUGUAGCGGUGAAAUGCGCAGAUAUCAGGAGGAACACCGGUGGCGAAGGCGGAUCUCUGGGCCGUAACUGACGCUGAGGAGCGAAAGCAUGGGGAGCGAACAGG
rnacentral:rRNA from 1 species